GGCAUAGCUCAAUGGCAGAGUAUCUGCUUGGCAUGCAGAAACUUCCAGGUUCAAUUAUUGGCAUCUCCA